rnacentral:rRNA from 1 species
GAUGAACGCUGGCGGCGUGCCUAUACAUGCAAGGCGAGCGAACAGACGAGGAGCUUGCUCCUCUGACGUUAGCGGCGGACGGGUGAGUAACACGUGGAAAACCUACCUAUAAGACUGGGGUAAACUCGGGAAACCGGGGCCAAAACCGGGAAAUAUUUUGAACCGCAUGGGUCCAUAGGGAAAGGCGGUUUUUCUGGUACUUAUAAAUGGAUCCGCGCCGCAUUAGCUAGUUGGUAAGGUAACGGCUUACCAAGGCAACGAUGCGUAGCCGACCUGAGAGGGUGAUCGGCCACACUGGAACUGAGACACGGUCCAGACUCCUACGGGAGGCAGCAGUAGGGAAUCUUCCGCAAUGGGCGAAAGCCUGACGGAGCAACGCCGCGUGAGUGAUGAAGGUCUUCGGAUCGUAAAACUCUGUUAUUAGGGAAGAACAAAUGUGUAAGUAACUAUGCACGUCUUGACGGUACCUAAUCAGAAAGCCACGGCUAACUACGUG